GCGGGUGUAGUUCAGCGGUAGAACUUCAGCCUUCCGAGCAGCAUGGCGUGGAGAUGGUGAUCCCCAUCACCCGCU
rnacentral:tRNA from 1 species